CAAGCUAGACAAACCGAAGGUCCCUGAGCUCGGGGGAGGAGAGAGAGAGAGGGGUUGACCUGGAAUCUGUUUUAUUGCCGGCGUUAAACGUCAAUAUAUCAAUCUAUCGAUGCCAGGGGGUGAAGGAAGGCACCAGAGCUUUACUUGCGCUAAUAAUAAUCACAGUGCUGUUUCUAUCGUGGGCAUGAUAGUAUAUUUGUGGACCUUCACGAAUCUGGUAGUGCUCGGGACCUGUGAACGUCGUGGGCGUGUGUUGCGACCCCUUUCUCUCUAUCUCUUGCGUAGCGUGGCUGUGUGGCCUUAUUAAUGAAGCCACCCCGCACGUCUUGGAUUGUGAGACAUCUUCGGGGAUUUUUGGGAUUUCGAACUGUGGCGCGACGAUUCACGGUUACUGGUCACACGAGCUGACGGGCUUUUGAGCCAAGGCUAUGUCCUACUUUUAAACAUGUACUAGGUUAGAAACCAUCUGCCCAGAGUGGACUGUGUGGAUGAUUUCACCUCGGAAGAUCUGAAUAAACGAUUUUGAAAGCCUUCA